rnacentral:lncRNA from 1 species
GUUGUCCGCAUGUAAACUUCUAGAAUUUGUCACCAAUAUAAGUACAUCGCAAUCCGUUACUGUUUCAACAGCCAUCGGUGUUUCAUGUGUGUAUUCUUAAAUAAGUAUUAUUUUUCUCUCGUUUUUAGCAAUGUAUCACUCUCUACUGUCCUUAUAUAUUAUUCUAUAUUCUGCGUUUCCAUCCAGAUUCUCGUGUAUACCAUGAGGGUCCGGAUUGGGGGUUUUGUUGAUUUCUGUACUCUUUAAAUUGUUAUGUCAUUUUUUUCUACAUUUUGUUUAUCUUACUCAUUAUUCUUUCUUUCUUUUCAUAUUUUGUCAUCCCAAUAUAUUUU